rnacentral:rRNA from 1 species
ACAAGCGGCGGAGCAUGCGGAUUAAUUCGAUGCAACGCGAAGAACCUUACCUGGGUUUGACAUGGCCGCAAAACCUCCAGAGAUGGGGGGUCCUUCGGGGGCGGUCACAGGUGGUGCAUGGCUGUCGUCAGCUCGUGUCGUGAGAUGUUGGGUUAAGUCCCGCAACGAGCGCAACCCUCGUUCGAUGUUGCCAGCGCGUUAUGGCGGGGACUCAUCGAAGACUGCCGGGGUCAACUCGGAGGAAGGUGGGGAUGACGUCAAGUCAUCAUGCCCCUUAUGUCCAGGGCUUCACGCAUGCUACAAUGGCCGGUACAAUGGGCUGCGAUACCGUGAGGUGGAGCGAAUCCCAAAAAGCCGGUCUCAGUUCGGAUCGGGGUCUGCAACUCGACCCCGUGAAGUCGGAGUCGCUAGUAAUCGCAGAUCAGCAACGCUGCGGUGAAUACGUUCCCGGGCCUUGUACACACCUCCCGUCACGUCACGAAAGUC